rnacentral:rRNA from 1 species
GAUGAACGCUGGCGGCGUGCUUAACACAUGCAAGUUGAACGAAGUGGCGUAUGGGCGAGUAACACGUGAGGAACCUGCCUUUCACAGGGGAAUAACCCUGGGCAACCAGUGCUAAUACCGCAUAGUGAAAGAUGGCCUCGCGCCUGAUUAGCUAGUAGGUGAGGUAACGGCUCGACUAGGUGAUGAUCAGUAGCCGGACUGAAGGUUGAUCGGCAGCAUGGAGAAUGAGACACGGCCGAGACGACUAAGGGAGGCAGCAGUGGGGGAUAUUGGACAAUGGCGAAAGCCUGAUGCAGCGAGGCCGCGUGGGGGAUGAAGGCUGUCGGGUUGUAAACCUCGUUCCAUCGAAGAGGGUAGGUGGAGAAGAAGCGCCGGCUAACUACGUGCCAGCAGCCGCGGUAAUAC